rnacentral:lncRNA from 1 species
GGGAAUGAUUUGCUUUCACGUGGACCCUUCCAGAGUUAUCUCAGUGCUGGGGAUGGGCAAUGGGGGUGCCGGGGUCUCAGUGUACUGGUGAGGUGCUGGGAAGAGAAGGAAUUCACAAUGUUCUUUGACAGAUCAGAUACAAGUAGGAAGAGAAAGAGAAAGUUAGGAUGAAGCUGAAGUUUUGGUUCUGAGCAGUUUCAAGCUUCAAGCUGCCACUACCAGAGAAGGGAAAGACUGAAAGAGAAUUUUUUUUUUGUACCGGGAUCGAACUAAGAAAGAAAAUUUUUAAGAGAAUUGAAGCUCAGCUUGGGACAUGUUGGGUCAGAUAUAUUAGAUGCAUAAAAGGAGAGGAAGUGAGGUAUGUGGAUCUGGAGUUUAAGAGAAAGUUCUGGCUGGACAUAUGAGCCUACAGUCACCACCAGACAGAGGGUAUCUGAAGUCAGGAGCCUGAGAAAUAUCCCAAAGGGCAUAAGCUUAACCGAAAUGGGGUGCAAACCAGCUCCAGAGACUUUGGACCAGGUGUCAGAUUCACCUCCCACGAGACACAGGGUGUAACCUCAGCAACUUAGAUGUCUGUUUGGGCCACAGGGUUGCCCAUUUGGUCAAACAUUAUUCUGGGUCUUUAUGUGACAAUGUUUGGAUGACAUUAAACCUUAAAACCCUGGGAAGGCUAAUAAAGAGACAGAAGAUGUUUCAGUCCAAAUUCUAAAAAAGGGUGGAAAUUCAGAGAAGGCCCCAAACUCAAAAAUGCCGUGGGGAAGCCGGCCAUGGUGGCACACACCUGUGAUCCCAGCACUUGGGAGGCUGAGAUCUCUAAUGGCCCCAUUCGGAUUUUCCUUUGGUGAACUGGCCUACCAUUGCAUCACUCUUGGCCCACCUCUUGCUCUGGGGGAAUCUGUAAGCCAACACUGACCAAUCAACAUAAAUAAUAAAAUAAUAUGAACCCUGAGCCUGUGGCUGAGAAGAAGAAUGUGGUGGGUAAUGAUCUAGGUCAGUGGGAGUGGCGGGCAGGGGCGUUGGUUUUCUCUUCUCUGGGAACCCC